AACGUAACGUCUAUUGUGUUUGCAGCUCUUCUGGGGAAGAAAUACAUUAUCUCCUGCACUUAAGAUGGAAAGCCAACUGAUGUGCCCAGAUGCGCCCAAAAACAUUGUCUGGACAACAUGUUUGCCCAGACGAACUUAGCUUUUGAAUCUAAGCCAUGUCCGACAACAGCAUAAAUCAAAGUGAGGCAUGUCUCAUGCUUCAGACAAAGGCAGGCCAUCCUCCACGGCAACUGAGCCAGUAGGAACAGCCAACGCUUACAAAACCAGCGGACAUUCUUGAGAAUCAAGACCAGGGAACUGCAAAACAAAAACAAGUGAGGAAACAGUAAAUCAACCAUUUCAGUGGACAAACGUAGAGGACAUAGCCGCUAUUGCAAGAGAACUUCACCGUGAAUCCCUGUAGAUAUGUUGUGCCUUCCUUCUCACCAUGACUUGGUGGAGCAAUCCAGCCACAGCCAUAUCUGAAAAUGUCAGUGCUACCUGUCUUGAGGUCCUCGGCUAUAGUGGCAUGGCUGCUGAAGGACACACGGGUGGCGUUUCCCACUUGAAGGCUGCGCGUCACCAGCGUGUCAUAUCUGCAGAACUCAGCGCCGUCGCCAGCGCACAGCUUAGCGGCCUCGUUCAGUAGCGGGUCAUCUGGAUUGUCAGGGAUGGUGAAUGUCGGAGAGAAGGUCGCAUCGUGCUUUGGAACAGAAAGUGGGAACACAAAUCAACUGUCGGUAACUUACAGCUUGCACCAAAGCUGUACACCUGCUCAGGAUUGCUUGCGUCUGGAACAGCUUCACCAGUACUGGAGACCAGAUCAUCCUUUGGAUCGUUAUUCAUCUUUCCGAGCAGCCCUUGGGUUGAGUCUGUGAACUCCUUGGGGAGUAAAACGGUGGCUGCCAUAGUCCCUUCCCUUCUCCGCACCUCCACUCCCGCCCCAGACGGGAACAUGACAGUCACAUUGUGAGGUAUCGGGGAGAAUACGAAGACACCUGUGGAGGAAAAGACCUCUGUUAAAGCUUUAUUGUAACAGAUAUUUCAAAUUGGACUCAAAUUGGACUCAAAUUCAUGUACAGUAUUGUACAAGUAUCUUAUAUAAGUAUCUUACAAGUAUCUUAUAUACCGGUAAGUAUCUUAUAUCUUAUAUCUAUAAGUAUAUUUAUUCACUGAUAUGAGCUGUUUUUCAGGCCGAUUUUGAUACGUCAUAACAGAGAAUAGCUGUCUGGUCAGUGUAUCUCCACUGAAUCGAUGGGUGAUCAUGUUGCCAGUAGU